GCUUUCUUGGCUCAGUCGGCAGAGCGUCAGUCUCAUAAUCUGAAGGUCACGAGUUCGAAUCUCGUAGAGAGCA
rfam:Absidia glauca strain CBS 101.48 genome assembly, contig: contig_5605